UACGGGGGGUGCGAGCGUUGUCCGGAAUCACUGGGCGUAAAGGGCGCGUAGGUGGUUUGAUAAGGGUGUGGUGAAAGUCCGGGGCUCAACCCCGGAUCUGCCGUGCCGACUGUCAAACUCGAGGGCUGUAGAGGCAGACGGAAUUCCGGGUGUAGCGGUGGAAUGCGUAGAGAUCCGGAGGAAGACCGGUGGCGAAGGCGGUCUGCUGGGCAGUUUCUGACACUGAUGCGCGGACAGCGUGGGGAGCAAACAGG
rnacentral:rRNA from 1 species